rnacentral:lncRNA from 1 species
CAGAAGUGCUGAACCCUUGACGUGCCUUAUCUUAUUUGCUCCUCACAACAAAUCUUAUGAGAUGCAUCACUACCAGAAGUUGUCCAGAAAGAACUGUGACCGUAUGUUUUAAUUAAAUAAUUUUUCAUCCAGUUUUUUUCUUUGCAUAUAAAGAAACAGAAUCCUGACAUCUGAUUGAAUUAUUGGCUCUCCUGAUGGUUGCACGAUGGCUGCAGCAGUUCCAGAUGUCCCAUCGAGACACAAAAAGAUCCCAGAUGGAAGAUGCCAUCUCCUCCUAUGUGCCUCUUUUUAAGAGUGCCAUGCCACUCAAACAGCCAAUGGAAAGGCCCACGUGGCGAGAGCUAAGGCUUCCUGCCAACAGGCAAGUGAGGAAGCCCAGUCAGCUGCCUGCAGUCCUGACCCAUGAAGAGCCUGACUGAAAGUGAAUGAGCAACCCUGAGCUAGGACAACCCAGCAAGGCCCAUCCUGAAUUCCUGCCCACAAAAACUCUGAGACAGUAAAUGUUCGUUGUUUUAAACCACAAAGUUUUGAAGUAAUAGAUUAAUUAGGUAACCAAUUGGGACUGCAGUAUUCCUUCAGGGAACUUGAAUAGUCAUUCUGUAUAUGGAAAUUGUACACAUCUUAAAAUUGCUGGACUAAAGUGAGAAGAGACUGUCUUGAGUCAACUGGAUAAAGUGGAAAAAAAAUUAAUUUGGAAAUCAAUAGAAUUCUGGCCUUGGCUUUGUCACUAAGAAACACUUAUAAGUAAUUUCACUUCUCUUGAAAUUAUGAUCAUUAUCUAUAACAUAAAGGAACUGAGCUAAAUGUUAUCUGAUGCCUCUUUAGGCUCUCAAACUCCAUAGAUUUAUGACAUGCUUGAAAUUCACUUUGUUUCACCCUAAUUCAGAGCUUUGUUUCACUAGCUCUAGAAUUAGAUGCCUUGGGUUUAAAUUGCAAUUCAGUCACUUAUUUAAAUAAUUGUACUUGGAUGAGUGAUGUUGCCAUUUUAAGCCUCAGUUUCCCCAUAGAUUCAUUGAGAAGAUCAAAUAAGAUGAUGCAGAUAAAGCUCUUAGUUUGUGGGGACACUUAGUAAGUGCUUAAUAAAUACAGGCAGUUGUGUUAUCUAUGUUGUAGCAGCACAUUUUGUAAAAUAAAACAAAGUUGAAAUCACA